UAUGAAGUGUUCUGCUUCAUGGCUAUGCAAAUUAAGAGUGAUAGACUAGGUUAAAUAUGGGCCUGGCUGUACCCUGAAACAUCACCCACAGGCACAUCUACAGAAGUCCUCAAGGCCCAUCUGCUCACAAUGGACUGGAGCUGGAGAGCCCUCUUCCUGGUGGCAAUGGCUACAGGUGUCUACUCCCAGGUGCAACUGGAGCAGUCUGGGUCUGAGGUGAGGAGACCUGGUUCUUCAGUGAAGGUCUCCUGCAAGGCCUCUGGAUACACCUUCACCAGCAACUGGAUGAGCUUUGUGCAACAGGCCCCAGGGCAAGCCCUUGAGUGGAUAGGGAAGGUUUAUCCUGGUGAUGGUGAUACAAGGUAUGCACGGAAGUUCCAGGGAAGAGCCACAAUUACUUCAGACAAAUCCACAAACACAGCCUACAUGGAACUGAAGAGCUUGAGUACUGAAGACACAGCCAUGUAUUACUGUGCAAGACACACAGUGAGGAGAUGUAUCCUGUCCCAACCGCAGCUGCUGGGAUGGGGCCUAGGACUGGUGAAGCCAUCACAGAGCCUCUCCCUCACCUGCACUGUCUCUGAAUUCUCUUUAAUGAUCAAUGGUGUGUAUUGGACCCGCCAGGCUCCAGGGAAGGCACUAGAGCGGGUCACUGUUAUAAAUAGUGGUGGAAGCACAAACUACAACCCACCGCUGAAAUCCCAACUCACCAUCACCAGGGACACUUCCAAGAGCCAAGUAUAUUAA